GAUGAACGCUAGCGACAGGCCUAACACAUGCAAGUCGAGGGGCAGCGAGGAUGUAGCAAUACAUUUGUCGGCGACCGGCGCACGGGUGAGUAACGCGUAUGCAACCUACCCGACACAGGGGGAUAACCCGGAGAAAUUCGGACUAAUACCGCAUAAAACAGGGGUCCCGCAUGGGAAUAUUUGUUAAAGAAUUAUCGGUGUCGGAUGGGCAUGCGUUCCAUUAGCUAGUUGGUGAGGUAACGGCUCACCAAGGCCACGAUGGAUAGGGGUUCUGAGAGGAAGGUCCCCCACAUUGGUACUGAGACACGGACCAAACUCCUACGGGAGGCAGCAGUGAGGAAUAUUGGUCAAUGGGCGAAAGCCUGAACCAGCCAAGUCGCGUGAAGGAUGACGGUCCUAUGGAUUGUAAACUUCUUUUGUCGGGGAGUAAAAGGCAGUUUACGUGUAACUGUUUGCAAAGUACCUGAAGAAAAAAGCAUCGGCUAAACUCCGUGCCAGC
rnacentral:rRNA from 1 species